rnacentral:rRNA from 1 species
GACGAACGCUGGCGGCGUGCUUAACACAUGCAAGUCAAACGAAGAGCGAUGAAGCUUGCUUCUAUCAAUCUUAGUGGCGAACGGGUGAGUAACGCGUAAUCAACCUGCCCUUCAGAGGGGGACAACAGUUGGAAACGACUGCUAAUACCGCAUACGAUCUAAACUCGGCAUCGAGGAUAGAUGAAAGGUGGCCUCUACAUGUAAGCUAUCACUGAAGGAGGGGAUUGCGUCUGAUUAGCUAGUUGGAGGGGUAACGGCCCACCAAGGCGAUGAUCAGUAGCCGGUCUGAGAGGAUGAACGGCCACAUUGGGACUGAGACACGGCCCAGACUCCUACGGGAGGCAGCAGUGGGGAAUCUUCCGCAAUGGACGAAAGUCUGACGGAGCAACGCCGCGUGAGUGAUGACGGCCUUCGGGUUGUAAAGCUCUGUUAAUCGGGACGAAAGGCCUUCUUGCGAAUAGUGAGAAGGAUUGACGGUACCGGAAUAGAAAGCCACGGCUAA